UUAUUUCUGUUAUCCAAUUGUUGGACAUCCCAUUCGUGGUUGAAGUGAUUGCUAUAUAAUGCCCUGUUUUCUUUGUGUGCGUCCAAAUCAUGACAAAGCUCGUUGUAUUGGCGGUGGUGUUAACUUUCCUCGCAUGCUGGUAUGGCAUCGCACAAGGUCAGUAUUUCUGGCAGUGCCCGGGCGGAAACACACCGUUUCCGCCUCCGAUAUGUCGGCGCGAUAACGACUGUUUGUUUAGCGAGUAUUGCCAUUUCUUCUUUCCUAUGUUAGGAAUAUGCUGCUCUAGGGCUGUCCCAUGAUGCCGAGACAAACCUCUCUUCAUGGUAUAUGAAAUAAAGGAAUGAAAGCUC